rnacentral:rRNA from 1 species
AGAGUUUGAUCAUGGCUCAGAUUGAACGCUGGCGGCAGGCCUAACACAUGCAAGUCGAGCGGUAGCACAGAGAGCUUGCUCUCGGGUGACGAGCGGCGGACGGGUGAGUAAUGUCUGGGAAACUGCCUGAUGGAGGGGGAUAACUACUGGAAACGGUAGCUAAUACCGCAUAACGUCGCAAGACCAAAGUGGGGGACCUUCGGGCCUCAUGCCAUCAGAUGUGCCCAGAUGGGAUUAGCUAGUAGGUGGGGUAACGGCUCACCUAGGCGACGAUCCCUAGCUGGUCUGAGAGGAUGACCAGCCACACUGGAACUGAGACACGGUCCAGACUCCUACGGGAGGCAGCAGUGGGGAAUAUUGCACAAUGGGCGCAAGCCUGAUGCAGCCAUGCCGCGUGUGUGAAGAAGGCCUUCGGGUUGUAAAGCACUUUCAGCGGGGAGGAAGGCAGUAAGGUUAAUAACCUCACCGAUUGACGUUACCCGCAGAAGAAGCACCGGCUAACUCCGUGCCAGCAGCCGCGGUAAUACGGAGGGUGCAAGCGUUAAUCGGAAUUACUGGGCGUAAAGCGCACGCAGGCGGUCUGUCAAGUCGGAUGUGAAAUCCCCGGGCUCAACCUGGGAACUGCAUUCGAAACUGGCAGGCUAGAGUCUUGUAGAGGGGGGUAGAAUUCCAGGUGUAGCGGUGAAAUGCGUAGAGAUCUGGAGGAAUACCGGUGGCGAAGGCGGCCCCCUGGACAAAGACUGACGCUCAGGUGCGAAAGCGUGGGGAGCAAACAGGAUUAGAUACCCUGGUAGUCCACGCUGUAAACGAUGUCGAUUUGGAGGUUGUGCCCUUGAGGCGUGGCUUCCGGAGCUAACGCGUUAAAUCGACCGCCUGGGGAGUACGGCCGCAAGGUUAAAACUCAAAUGAAUUGACGGGGGCCCGCACAAGCGGUGGAGCAUGUGGUUUAAUUCGAUGCAACGCGAAGAACCUUACCUGGUCUUGACAUCCACAGAACUUUCCAGAGAUGGAUUGGUGCCUUCGGGAACUGUGAGACAGGUGCUGCAUGGCUGUCGUCAGCUCGUGUUGUGAAAUGUUGGGUUAAGUCCCGCAACGAGCGCAACCCUUAUCCUUUGUUGCCAGCGGUCCGGCCGGGAACUCAAAGGAGACUGCCAGUGAUAAACUGGAGGAAGGUGGGGAUGACGUCAAGUCAUCAUGGCCCUUACGACCAGGGCUACACACGUGCUACAAUGGCAUAUACAAAGAGAAGCGACCUCGCGAGAGCAAGCGGACCUCAUAAAGUAUGUCGUAGUCCGGAUUGGAGUCUGCAACUCGACUCCAUGAAGUCGGAAUCGCUAGUAAUCGUAGAUCAGAAUGCUACGGUGAAUACGUUCCCGGGCCUUGUACACACCGCCCGUCACACCAUGGGAGUGGGUUGCAAAAGAAGUAGGUAGCUUAACCUUCGGGAGGGCGCUUACCACUUUGUGAUUCAUGACUGGGGUGAAGUCGUAACAAGGUAACCGUAGGGGAACCUGCGGUUGGAUCACCU